rfam:Pteropus alecto contig91341, whole genome shotgun sequence.
GGGGGUAUAGCUCAGGGGUAGAGCGUUUGACUGCAGAUCAACAGGUCCCCGGUUCAAAUCCGGGUGCCCCCU